rnacentral:rRNA from 1 species
GACGAACGCUGGCGGCGUGCUUAACACAUGCAAGUCGAGCGGUAAGGCCCUUUCGGGGGUACACGAGCGGCGAACGGGUGAGUAACACGUGGGUGACCUGCCCUCAGCUCUGGGAUAAGCCUGGGAAACCGGGUCUAAUACUGGAUAUGACUCCAUGACGCAUGUUGUGGGGUGGAAAGCCUUGUGCGGCUGAGGAUGGGCCCGCGGCCUAUCAGCUUGUUGGUGGGGNGAUGGCCUACCAAGGCGACGACGGGUAGCCGGCCUGAGAGGGCGACCGGCCACACUGGGACUGAGACACGGGCCCAGACUCCUACGGGAGGCAGCAGUGGGGAAUCUUGCGCAAUGGGCGAAAGCCUGACGCAGCGACGCCGCGUGA